UUACUAAAAUUGUUUUCUUUAAGUGAUGUGUUGUCAGAUUGAAUAAUGCACUGGAUUUGGGUUAAUUUGUUAAUUUGCAUGACAGAUUUGAGAUUGGAGUCUGAGCUGACACACAAAACAGUGCAGAAAUACCUCACUCAAGCGGUCAGUGUGGUCAGAUAACGUUAACAACUUUAAUGUUCAGAUCUGGGCUGCAAAUCGCAAAAGCAUUGUAAGCUUAAAUAGGGUGUAGAAACCAUUGGUGACAAUACUUUCUACAAUCUACUUAUGACGAAGUCAAAGUAUACAACGCUUUUGGGAAACGCAGCUGUACAGCUGAUAAUGUUGAGUUUUAUGCAGGGAUGCAUGAUAUUCCUUUUCUUUUAAUCUGAAAACAUUGGUGAUACUGGAAUUGUAUCUAACUUUUUAAACACUUGUUUCAGUGGGAAACCAACUGUAACUGUGACACCAAGUGCAGCUGGAUUUCUGAAACGGAUCUUCCAUAUUACAGGCGUGCUGAAAUGACAGGCAUCUUCGUUUGUGUUCUGAUGAUGAUAAAAAAUCAUACACAUCUGGCAUGGCAUUAAGGCGUUUCAUCGGAAUAAAUCCUGAGAGAGGCACCAAGGCUGGACGAGGCAAAGUCCUGUCAAAGCAUACAGGGAAAGUCGCCCAGAAAAAGACGACAUCAGUCAACCCUCGUGUCUUCAGUCUACUAAAGAAACUAAUGGACUUUGAGUGGGACUUUAUAUAAGUCAGUGAACCCAGUCAUUCACACACACACACUCACUCAAACUCACACAAACACUCACAUACGAACACUAUCUCACACACACACACUCAACACACACAAACUCACAUAAACACUCUCUCUCUCUCACACACACACACACACACACACUCAACACACACAAACUCACACAAACACUCUCACACACACUCAACACACACAAACUCACACAAACACUCUCUCACACACUCAACUCACACAAACACUCUCUCACACACACUCAACACACACAAACUCACACAAGCACUCUCUCUCUCACACACACACACACACACACACACAAACACUCUCUCACGCACUCAGUACACACAAACUCACAAACACUCUCACACACACACACAAACACUCUCUCACACACACAAACACUCUCACACACACACACAAACACUCAACACACACAAACUCACACGAACACUCUCUCUCACACACACAAACUCACAUAAACACUUUCUCAGACACUCACCCACACACAAACUCACACAAACAUUUUCUCAGACACUCACACACACACACAUACACACAAACUCACACAAACACUUUCUCAGACACUCACACACAUUCAAACUCACACAAACACUUUCUCAGACACUCACACACACACAAACUCACACAAACACUUUCUCAGACACUCACACACACUGUUUCAGUCAUUCAUUCAGCCACUUUCUCAGUUAUUUACUGAGUAUUUGUGUCCAGAGUUCAGUGUUUGGACGGACAGAGAUUUGUUAUUAUUUGUUAUAUGUAUUUAUUAUUUAUAUGGCUGAAAUGUACGUUUAUUUACCCAAAUCAGCUUUGGGCUUUGUUUUACCAAUUGCCUUAUAAUUUUGUACAGAUGUUUUGCAAGAAUGGUGUUUUGCAAAUAAAGAGAGACGUUUUGA